UUUCCGUAGGUGAACCUGCGGAAGGAUCAUUGUCGAAACCUGCAAAGCAGACCGUGAACACGUGUUUAACUCAUCCCCCGCCGCCGAUCGGCGUGCGGGCUAACGAACCCCGGGCGCGGAAAGCGCCAAGGAAAACUGUACGUAGCGUCGGCCCCCCAUCCCGUUCGCGGGUCGUGCGGGGGAUGCGGACGUCUAUCGAAUGUCAAAACGACUCUCGGCAACGGAUAUCUCGGCUCUCGCAUCGAUGAAGAACGUAGCGAAAUGCGAUACUUGGUGUGAAUUGCAGAAUCCCGUGAACCAUCGAGUCUUUGAACGCAAGUUGCGCCCGAAGCCAUUAGGCCGAGGGCACGUCUGCCUGGGCGUCACGCAUCGCGUCGCCCCCCCUCCCCGCGCGCCGCGCUCGGGACGGGGGGGCGGAUAUUGGCCUCCCGUGCGCCCCGGUGCGCGGCCGGCCCAAAUGCGAUCCCCCGGCGACCCGCGUCGCGACAAGUGGUGGUUGAAACAUCUCAAUCUCGCGUCUCGUCGCGCUUCCGGGUCGUCCGAGCGGGCUCCAAAAAUGACCCAAUGGUGCGGCCGUUACGCCGCGCCCUCGACCGCGACCCCAGGUCAGGCGGGAUCACCCGCUGAGUUUAA
rnacentral:rRNA from 1 species